rnacentral:misc_RNA from 1 species
CGCAGCCGCGGUAAUUCCAGCUCCAAUAGCGUAUAUUAAAGUUGUUGCAGUUAAAAGCUCGUAGUUGAAUUUCGGGAUCAUCAGGUUGGUCGUGCCUCUGGUAUGUACUGAUUUCGAUGGUCCCUCCUUCUUGAAGAGCCGUAAUGCCAUUAAUUUGGUGUUGCGGGGAAUCAGGACUGUUACUUUGAAAAAUUGAGUGUUUAAAGCAGGCAAUCGCUUGAAUACAUUAGCAUGGAAUAAUGAAAUAGGACGUUUGGCCCUAUUUUGUUGGUUUCUAGGAUCGACGUAAUGAUUAAUAGGGAUAGUUGGGGGCAUUAGUAUUCAAUUGUCAGAGGUGAAAUUCUUGGAUUUAUUGAAGACUAACUACUGCGAAAGCAUUUGCCAAGGAUGUUUUCAUUAAU